rnacentral:rRNA from 1 species
UGGGGAAUAUUGGGCAAUGGAGGCAACUCUGACCCAGCAACGCCGCGUGAACGAUGAAGGUCUUCGGAUUGUAAAGUUCUUUUCUAAGGGAAGAAGAAAGUGACGGUACCUUAGGAAUAAGCCUCGGCUAACUACGUGCCAGCAGCCGCGGUAAUACGUAGGAGGCAAGCGUUAUCCGGAAUGACUGGGCGUAAAGGGUGCGUAGGUGGUUUGACAAGUUAGUAGCGUAACUCCGGGGCUCAACUUCGGAACUACUACUAAAACUGUUGAACUUGAGUGCAGGAGGGGCAACUGGAAUUCCUAGUGUAGCGGUGGAAUGCGUAGAUAUUAGGAAGAACACCGGUGGCGAAGGCGAGUUGCUGGACUGUAACUGACACUGAGGCACGAAAGCGUGGGGAGCAAACAGG